AGCCUAGUGAGCUAGAGAACCCUGCUCUUGGAGUUGUCCCUGCAGUCCCAUCAGGCGCUGCGUAUCAGAGCUGCACACCUGCACCAGCAGAAGGAACAGGACCCCAGGCUGCAGUGAGCAGGCGACCUCAGCGCCCUCUUCACUGAAGCACUGGAGCCUGGGCGGGUUUCCAUCAGCGGAGUCAAGUAAUUGAGCUCAGAUUAGAUUAAACCCAGACGCAUCCCGUGUUUAGUGCCAAUUACUCACGGCCAGCAGAGGCGGGCAAGGGGUCUGGACUGUGUCACGUCGUGCCUUCUUGGAGGCUGACUGCUCCCUCCAGCUCAAGAUUAAAAAGUCAAGCAGCAAGUUGUCUUGUCCAAGGACAGAGGCCUACCUAUGCCCCUCAACCUGCUAAGACCAGAUUCCUGAAGGCUUGAAGUUCUUGAGAGGGAAGCACAGCAUAGAACAAACAAGCCAAACAACACUGAAGACUGAGUGUCUGCAAGGAAUUCCUUUCACCUGAGCCUCAGCUGGGGCACGCCUGUGGACUCCUGGUCACUUUCUGCCCUCCUAUCACCCAGGGAGAAGGUCGACAUAUGUGGUGUAGUUGGCAGGAUCCAGAGCUACUCCCCCCAGCCCUCCAGGGUUUCUCUCUGAAAGCCCUGCUUGGCACCAGCAGGAACCCAUCGCAUUCUCUCUGCCUUCAGAAGUUCCAACGGGUAUUUCAGAAAUGCCUCUUAUUAAAGACCAGCUUGCCUGCAUCAGCUGUAGAAGCCCAGCCCCUCUGUAGUGCCACCUCCUAGAAUGGACACAGCUGUUUGACCAAAUGCUUCUACUCUUAGGACUAAGAGACUGAUUCAAGAAGAUAUGGGACAACAUAUUUAUUUAUUUUUCUUUUCUGCUUAUCCCAAUUUGUUUUUUCCCCUUCUUUGCCUUCUUUUCCUCUAACCCAAAUCUCUCCAUAAUCACUGAUUCAGCUGUUGAUAAUGUGAAAUUCUAGGGAAGUUCCAAACAGGAGGAUUGAAGGAGCGCAGGGAACUUGGCCCCAAAAUAUGGCUCCCUGGUAUGAGUAUUUUCAAUUAAAGUCCCUCAAGAUCAACAGAAGCUGGAAGAGUCCUCUCCCUUAUCUACAUGAAGACCCUGCAGACCCACCAAAGAGAACAAUUACUUUUCCUUCUCCUCCCUCUUAUCUCAUUAUCUAUUGCAGAAAAGAAAACCAACACGUGACCACACCUGAACAGACGCUUUCAAAAAAAUAAUCCAUUUCUCCAGCUUAUUAAAUUUUCAAAGAGAACCAUUUACGAAUAACUCUCUGUUUCUUGACCCAUUCAUUCUCCUUAAUAAUAAUUUAUUGCCCCUCAACAGAAUCACCUACAUUCCGCCUUCCACCCUCCUCUCUGAAAAAACGCUGUAUAAGUAUCUGGACCUCAUGGGAUAUUGGGUAAUCACCUUAUUUUUCCCGUGUACACGUUAAUAAAUUUGUAUGCAUUUCUCUUAUUAAUCUGCAUUGUACACUUAAAAAGUAUUAAAAGAGUGAAAUUUAUGUUAUGAAUAUUUUAUCACAAUAAAACAAUAUUUUAAAAAACUGACAAAAAUUCUUUUUAAUUUCUUUCAAGUGAGGAAUUACCAACUACUUAACAGGGUGCUUAGAAUGGGGGAUUUUACCAGAUAAGUGGCAUGCUUUUUACAAUUAACAAUUGCUGUUAUUUACUGAGUAUCCACUUUCUCUGCCAGCUCCUGCGUUAAGCACUUUACAUAUACUAAUUCAAAUCCUUAAAAAAGAAAAUAAAGAAGAGAAAAGGAAAGAAAAAUAAGA
rnacentral:lncRNA from 10 species